rnacentral:rRNA from 1 species
GGCGGCAUGCCUAACACAUGCAAGUCGAACGGUAACAGGCCCGCAAGGGUGCUGACGAGUGGCGGACGGGUGAGGAAUACAUCGGAAUCUGCCCGGUUGUGGGGGAUAACGUAGGGAAACUUACGCUAAUACCGCAUACGACCGAGAGGUGAAAGCGUGGGAUCCGCAAGGACCUCGCGCAGCCGGAUGAGCCGAUGUCGGAUUAGCUAGUUGGCGGGGUAAAGGCCCACCAAGGCGACGAUCCGUAGCUGGUCUGAGAGGAUGAUCAGCCACACUGGGACUGAGACACGGCCCAGACUCCUACGGGAGGCAGCAGUGGGGAAUAUUGGACAAUGGGGGCAACCCUGAUCCAGCAAUGCCGCGUGUGUGAAGAAGGCCUUCGGGUUGUAAAGCACUUUUAUCCGGAACGAAACGCCCCAGGUGAAUAACCUGGUGAACUGACGGUACCGGANGAAUAAGCACCGGCUAACUUCGUGCCAGCAGCCGCGGUAAUACGAA